GCCACAGUGGUCAAAUGCUUGGCUGCCAACUAAAAGGUUGGUGGUUCAAAUCCACCCAUUGGCA
rnacentral:tRNA from 1 species